ACAGAAGACGAAGAGCUGGAAUAGAGCUCGCCUCGGCUCUGCUGGCCUUGGCUGCAGCUCUUCCAGAAACCCGGGGCGCCCACAGAAGAAUCUCUUACCUGGCUCUCUCUUCAGGGAUGACAUCAUCGGCUCACACCAGUCUUCCAGGACCACCUUCUGGAUGCCAAGGCUGCUGCUCGAGUACCUGCUGUGCACCUCUACCUCCUGGUACCCCAGCCACUCCCUCAAGUUGCCUGCAUGUUAUAUGGCCUAGCCAAGGAGCACGGAUUCCAGGAACCCACUACCAUACAGAGCAACUCCUUGUGGACCCCCCUGGGAUCAGGACAGCGAGGGACAAGCGACAAAGAGGAUCAUCAGUGGCCAGCUAGUUUCUCUGGGGUUCAAACCUUGAACCAGUGCCCUAGUGAGGGGGCACUGGCCAUGGCCCUUGACCUUUGCUCUGCUUGUGUCUUGAGUCUGAGCCCUUUCCUGUACAUCUGUGCUCGUGUUCAUCUGCUAGUGAACUGGAGUGCUGCCCUCCCCGAGGAGGGUCGUCCCUUGUGACUGAUCAUGCUGUCCUAACAAUGUCCUGAGCAAAAGGGUCCCUUUGGGAACCUCUCAGGAGGGGGACCCGGGUCAGGGGCGACCAGCAUCUUGCUGGCAACUCCGUGGGUGGGGUGGGGUGGGGUGCUUCCUUCUGGAAUGAGCACGUGGCUGACCCCCCAAGGCAUGUCCCCUCCCCCUCCUCCACCCACCUUCUCGGAGAUGUCCCUUUUGGGGUAGUGGGGACAUUAGGAGCAACCUCCUAGGGUUGUUGUGAGAAUUAAAUGAACUGCAGCAGCCUGAGGCAGGGCUGGGCAGAGACCUCAGCACAUGUUUGUUGAAAGGUUUGCAGGUGGAUCUAGUCCUCCCGUUCAUGGCUCAUGUGUCUCAACCAUUCUCUCGCAGACUCCUGCAGCCCCUAUGCCCAGGGCUCUCCUUGCGCCAGGUUUAAGGCUUGGCUUGCUGGCCCUGGAGAUCCCGUCGCCGUCUUCGUCGAACUCGAAAUCCUAGCCAUCGUCCUUCCCUGGCCUGUCGCGUCUUCCUGUGCCAUUUGCUGUUGUGCUCAGGUUCCACGAGCUGCCCAUCUCCACAGAAGAGCAGCUGGCAUUGCCCACCGGCCAUGCCGGCUGAAGAAAAGAAGACUGAGGACCCCAGGAUGCCCAGCGCGAGGACCCCAGGAAGCCCAGCGCGAGGACUCCACCCACGACGCCCAGCGCGAGGACUUCACGCACAACACGUUGCAACCCUCCUGGAUUAGGCCAAAGCCAUCAUCUGGAAUCCUGCGUGGGACCCUGGACACACGGACACAGACACCUGCCCCCAGGACCCUCCAACUGUAAAUCCCUCUACAGCCACGGGGACGCCUUGCACAUUUCCUGUGGGACAUGCUGGACCCAAGACUCUGGACCCUGGCCUCCCCUUGAGUAGAGAGACCCACCUACUGACUGAUGAACUGCGCUGACCCUGGGGUCAGGCAUGUGGCCUUGAUCCCUACCCAUGGACCCUGAGACUUGGGGGGGUGGGAGAAAGGCUGUUGUGUCUUCACUGUUGAGUCUACAUCUGUGAAAUGGGCUCAGGUUCCUACCUCACAGGGCUGUUGUGAGGCAGCCGCAAUGUGCUUAGAAGCAUGGGGCCUAGUGGCUCAUGGUGCUUUCAAUAAAUUUCUUGUUUUAACUAAAGC
rnacentral:lncRNA from 1 species